AUUGAACGCUGGCGGCAGGCCUAACACAUGCAAGUCGAGCGAGCGGCGGACGGGUGAGGAAUGUAUGGGGGCUGCCCGUUAGCGGGAAAUAACGACUGGAAAAGGUAGCUAAUACCGCAUACUAUCGGAUUACCCAUAUGUGAUUAGCUAGUUGGUGAGGUAAGGGCUCACAAAGGCGACGAUCACUAGCUGGUCUGAGAGGAUGAUCAGCCAGACUGGGACUGAGACACGGCCCAGACUCCUACGGAGGCAGCAGUGGGGAAUAUGGCACAAGGGGUGCAAGCCUGAUGCAGCCAGGCCGCGUGUGUGAAGAAGGCCUUAGGGUUGUAAAGUACUUUCAGUCGGGAGGCGUUACCGACAGAAGAAGCACCGGCUAACUCCGUGCCAGCAGCCGCGGUAAUUC
rnacentral:rRNA from 1 species